rnacentral:rRNA from 1 species
ACGAAGGGGGCUAGCGUUGCUCGGAAUUACUGGGCGUAAAGGGCGCGUAGGCGGAUUAACAAGUUGGAGGUGAAAGCCCAGGGCUCAACCUUGGAAUAGCCUUCAAAACUGUUAAUCUGGAGUAUGGAAGAGGUAAGUGGAAUUCCGAGUGUAGAGGUGAAAUUCGUAGAUAUUCGGAGGGACACCGGUGGCGAAGGCGACUUACUGGUCCAUUACUGACGCUGAGGCGCGAAAGCGUGGGGAGCAAACAG